AUGUACAGCAUCACCGUGGGCAUGCUUGUGCCGCUGCUGCUCGGCCCCAACAUGUCCUGGAGUGCCAUUAGUGCCGCCCUCACGCUCAUCUUCCUCGACUUCAAGGACGCUCGCCCCUGCCUCGAGAAGCUGUGGGUUAAUGUUGGUGGUUUUGUUCUACUUGGAUGCAUUGGUACCCAUCAUCGAGCGAACGGAUGCAACAGCGGCAACAAGCUCAUGGCUGUGUGCAUCUAA
rnacentral:rRNA from 1 species